UUUAAUUUCUUUAAAUGUGGAAAAAAAAAAGAAAAAAAAAAUGGAAAUUAAGUGUAAAUAUAAAUAUAUAUAUUUAUAUAUUAAAUAGUUUUAUUAAAUUAAUUAAAGAAAAGAAAGAAAAGAAAGGACAAAAAGAAGAAAAGGAGAAGAAAAUUUCAUUUUCUCUUUUCUUCUUCUUCUUCUCUUCCCUUCACCGCCAAGAGUUUGAAGACAUCCAAGUUCCUUCUAUUUUUUUUUCUUUUUCCUUCUUCAAUUUGCAGAGAAAUUCUAAGAGAGAGUUUGGAAGAAGAAGAGAAAUUUUACUAGAAUUUUUAGGUUGAAGAAGAGGAGGAGAACUCAAGCAAAGUGUAUCAAUGGCUGAAUUUUAGUUCAUUCUGCACAUCACUGGUUUUUAAUUCGGUUUGAACUCUUCAAAAGGAAUUAAGAGGUGAGAUUUACAUUUACUGAAAGUUAACUCAUUUUUAAACAAACUUUAUGAAGAACGUUGGAGCAAAUUCGGAUAUUCAUUUGGUGCUUUUUGAUGAAGAAAACAGGGCAGUUGGUUUUCACUCGAAAUCAGGAGGUCUCUGGUUUUUCUUGUAUUUCAGAGUGUAUCGGUGGAGUUAGAAUCUCUAUUUAUUAUGGAACAAGUUAAAGAGAUCGUGUGCGCGCGAUUCUGGAAGUGGUUCUGUUUUGAGGGUUAUAUGUGUUUAUGCACGGGGAAUCAGAUUAAUAUGUCUUCAGGCCGAGAAGAAUUAAACCGAGCUUAUAGACCAAGGAUCUAGCCCAAGACUAGAUCGACUUCCCGGUGCCUGAUAGACUGCCUUAGUCUGCGGAAGCUUCAUUAUCGAUUGCCAGUACGUGUUUUGAGUUGGGCAUAAAGUCUGUUGUGUUGUGAUGUAUUCACACCCUUGUAUGUUAUAGAUACUCCACAGUUUGUAUAAGCUUUAGGAGCUGUAGUUGUGUAAAUUUUGUUGGUUAUAUUUUGAUUAAGGUGUCUUUAGGUUUACUCGUGAAAUCGGUAAAUUUUGAGGUACACUUCAUGUAUGUGUUUGACUAGCUGUGUUUGACUAGCCUAGGAUCCGCUGUGUUUUGUGGCAUGUACAAUAGUUUAUAUACUAGAUUGGCAAGUUCA